rnacentral:rRNA from 1 species
UACGAAGGGUGCAAGCGUUACUCGGAAUUACUGGGCGUAAAGCGUGCGUAGGUGGUUUUUUAAGUCCGUUGUGAAAGCCCUGGGCUCAACCUGGGAAUGGCAGUGGAUACUGGAAAGCUAGAGUGCGGUAGAGGGUAGUGGAAUUCCCGGUGUAGCAGUGAAAUGCGUAGAGAUCGGGAGGAACACCAGUGGCGAAGGCGGCUACCUGGACCAGCACUGACACUGAGGCACGAAAGCUAGGGUAGCAAACGGG